GAUGAACGCUGGCGGCGUGCCUAAUACAUGCAAGUCGAGCGAACAGACGAGGAGCUUGCUCCUCUGACGUUAGCGGCGGACGGGUGAGUAACACGUGGAUAACCUACCUAUAAGACUGGGAUAACUUCGGGAAACCGGAGCUAAUACCGGAUAAUAUAUUGAACCGCAUGGUUCAAUAGUGAAAGACGGUUUUGCUGUCACUUAUAGAUGGAUCCGCGCCGCAUUAGCUAGUUGGUAAGGUAACGGCUUACCAAGGCGACGAUGCGUAGCCGACCUGAGAGGGAGAACGGCCACACUGGAACUGAGACACGGUCCAGACUCCUACGGGAGGCAGCAGUAGGGAAUCUUCCGCAAUGGGCGAAAGCCUGACGGAGCAACGCCGCGUGAGUGAUGAAGGUCUUCGGAUCGUAAAACUCUGUUAUUAGGGAAGAACAAAUGUGUAAGUAACUAUGCACGUCUUGACGGUACCUAAUCAGAAAGCCACGGCUAACUACGUG
rnacentral:rRNA from 1 species